rnacentral:lncRNA from 1 species
GUCUUAUACCCCAGAUAGGAAUCCCAUGGAGCCCAUUCGUAUGAAACUGACUGUAAAGACUUUGGCUCCAUGGCGAUUAAACUGCAUUCGUGUGGUCUGAGUGCCAUUCACCUAAUAAUGUGCACUCAGACCUGAGCUAUCUGGGGAUAUGUUACAUGUCUGUGGUUUAUGUAGUAAAUGUUACUUUGUGCAUUUUAAAGUGUUAUGCUGGUUUUGUGUUCCCACGUGUGUAAUGGAGUUUUGCCUUUGUCUUGG